rnacentral:rRNA from 1 species
AUUGAACGCUGGCGGCAGGCCUAACACAUGCAAGUCGAACGAGUGGCGGACGGGUGAGUAAUGUCUGGGAAACUGCCUGAGGGAGGGGGAUAACUACAGGAAACGGUAGCUAAUACCGCAUACCAUCAAAUGUGCCCAGAUGGGAUUAGCUAGUUGGUGGGGUAACGGCUAACCAAGGCGACGAUCCCUAGCUGGUAUGAGAGGAUGACCAGCCACACUGUAACGGAGACAAGGUCCAUACUCCUACGGGAGGCAGCAGUGGGGAAUAUUGCACAAUGGGCGCAAGCCUGAUGCAGCCAUGCCGCGUGUAUUAAGAAGGCCUUCGGGUUGUAAAGUACUUUCAGCGAGGAGGCGUUACCCGCAGAAGAAGCACCGGCUAACUCCGUGCCAGCAGCCGCGGUAAUAC